GGGCGGUUAGCUCAGUUGGUUAGAGUACCUGUUUGACAUACAGGAGGCCAGUGGUUCAAGUCCACUACCGCCCACCA
rnacentral:tRNA from 1 species